GCGAAAUUAGCUCAGUGGCAGAGCAUCUCGUUGCCAACGAGAGGGCCGUCAGUUCGAACCUGAUAUUUCGCUC
rnacentral:tRNA from 1 species